rnacentral:rRNA from 1 species
AUGAGCAUAAACAUUUUUUUUGCAAGUAGUUCAAGAACUCCUCGUGUCGAACCUGAUCCUAUCCCAGCCAGUCCACUGAUCCCAGCGAAUGUGAACCCAGAUCCCCUUUCCCUGGCUGUAGUGACCAUAGUUCCUACUUCAACUAAUGAGAGACCUGAUCCCUCAAUUCCAAGCAAUGAAAGAAAUGACACCACAUUUGAUGAGAGUACAAACCAACCAAGAAUGCCUAUACUAGAAUCUCAUCCAAGUCAAAUUAUUGUUGAUCCAGGACUUAGAAUACCAAUAGAAGAUUAUGCCCCUGAAAUUAGAAGUGAUGUGAGAAGAGCUUAUUUGUUGAACAAGAGAAACAAAGCUAUUGGGCAUAAAUUCAAGAAGACAAAGGAUGGUAAAAUUGGGAGAUCCAUUCAGCGUGCGUGGUUUGACAAUUUUGAUUGGUUGGAAUAUAGUGUGGAUAAGGAGGUUGCGUUUUGCUUUCAUUGCUUCCUUUUCAAGAAACCAUCCCAAGCCAUUAGAUUUGGCAAUGAUGUAUUCACAAAAAAUGGGUACACUCGUUGGAAAACAGGUUUAGAUAGUUUGAAAGUUGGUGGCCAAUCUAGUUACCACAACACAUCUAGGGGAGAUUGUGAUGAUUUCAACAAUCAACGAGCAAGUGUGGCUACCAAAUUCCGAGUGUACAGCAAAGAGGCUGAGAUAUCUUAUAAAAUCCUCCUAACUACAUCAUUGGAUUGUGCAAGGUAUCUCAUAGCACAAGGUGAAGCUUUUCGUGGGCACGAUGAAUCCUCCACUUCCAUCCAGGGCAAUUUUAGAGAGUUAUUGGAUUGGUAUAAGGACAAGAAGGAAGAUGUGAAGGAUGCAUUUGAUAAGGGGGCUGGAAAUGUACAAAUGAUUUGUUCUGGCAUCCAAAAGAACCUUGCUACAGCUCGUGCGAUGGAGGUAACCAAAGUUAUUAAGAAUGACAUUGGAGAUAAGAAUUUCUCAAUACUUAUUGAUGAGGCUAGAGAUUGUUCAAUAAAGGAGCAAAUGGCGCUGAUUUUGAGAUUUCUAGAUGAUCAUGGAGUGCUCCAAGUCCUUUCCAUUAAGCACAUCACAGAUUGCACAUUAGCUGGAAUUAAAGACGCUUUAGUUGAUGUGUUGGAAUAUCAUGGUUUGUCAAUUUCCUGGCUAUGUGGUUAGGGUUAUGAUGGGGCUUCAAAUAUGAGAGGGGAGUUCAAUGGUUUGCAAAAAAUGGUUAGAGAUGAAGCUCCGUAUGCAUUCUAUGUUCAUUGCUUUGCUCACCAGUUACAAUUGGUGGUUGUCACUGUUGCUCAAUGUAGUCCUGCUAUUGCUGAUUUCUUCAAUUAUAUUCCCUUGAUAGUGACUCAAGUGUGUUCAUCUUGUAAAAGCAAAGAUGCAUUACUUGCCAAACAUCAAGAUGAAUUGUUAGAUUUAAUGGAGAAUGGAAAGAUUUCAGCCGGUACCGGGUUGCAUCAAGAAUCUAACAUAACAAGACCAGGAGAUACUCGUUGGGCCUCACACCUCAAAACCUUGCUUCGUAUAUUCACAAUGUGGAAUGAUGUGGUGGAUGUGCUAGGAAUUGUUGUGGCUGAUGCUCGGGAACACACAUGCCAAUGUGGAGCUAGAGGUUUGCUUAAAAACAUGGAAUGCUUUGAAUUUGUGUUCAUCAUGUUCUUCUUAAUAAACUUGUUGAGCAACACAAAUCAACUAUCCCAAGCUUUGCAAAGGAAGAAUCAAAAUAUUGUUGAGGCCAUGCGUUUGAUCUUGGAUGUGAAAGAAAGCUUGCAGGACAUGAGGGAAAAUUGUUGGGAGCCUUUAUUUUGCCAAGCCAAGAACUUUUGUGAAACACGUGGUAUUGAUGUGCCAAACGUGGAUGAUCUUGUUGGAACAAUGGGCCAAUCUGUUCGCACUAAGAAUAAGGUGACUCGACUUCACUAUUACGAGGUUAGCAUAUUCAAUGUUGCCAUUGAUGCAACUAUCACUGAGAUGAAUCACCGAUUCAAUGAAGUUUCCACCGAGUUAUUAGAUUGCAUGUCUUGUCUUAAUCCAGCAAACAACUUUGCAAAGUUUGACGUUGACAAACUUAUUCGUCUUGCUGAAAUUUAUGAUGAGGACUUCACAGAAGCUGACCGGUUGUUGCUAAUAGUACACCUCCCCAGAUUCCUUAUGAACAUUAGGAAAAGUGAUGAAUUUAAUGGAUGCUGAGAUAUGUCCACACUUUCUCGUUUGAUGGUUGAAACAACGAAACACACAACUUUCCAUUUGGUAUAUCGCCUCAUUGAGUUGACACUCAUUCUUCAUGUAGCAACUUCAUCAGUUGAGCGAAUAUUUUCAGCAAUGAAGAUCAUCAAGACAGAUUUGCACAACAAACUAUUAGAUGAUUGGCUAAAUUAUUUAAUGGUGUGCUAUUGUGAGAAAGAGAUAUUCAGAAGCAUUCACGAUGACAAAAUCAUGAUACAAUUUCAGAAAAUGAGUGAUCAGAAAGAACAUUUGCCUUAUGAUUUUAAUGUCAUUCCUUAG